AGUGAACGCUGGCGGUAGGCCUAACACAUGCAAGUCGAACGGCAGCACAGUAAGAGCUUGCUCUUACGGGUGGCGAGUGGCGGACGGGUGAGGAAUACAUCGGAAUCUACUUUUUCGUGGGGGAUAACGUAGGGAAACUUACGCUAAUACCGCAUACGACCUACGGGUGAAAGCAGGGGAUCUUCGGACCUUGCGCGAUUGAAUGAGCCGAUGUCGGAUUAGCUAGUUGGCGGGGUAAAGGCACACCAAGGCGACGAUCCGUAGCUGGUCUGAGAGGAUGAUCAGCCACACUGGAACUGAGACACGGUCCAGACUCCUACGGGAGGCAGCAGUGGGGAAUAUUGGACAAUGGGCGCAAGCCUGAUCCAGCCAUACCGCGUGGGUGAAGAAGGACUUCGGGUUGUAAAGCCCUUUUGUUGGGAAAGAAAAGCAGCAGGUUAAUACCCCGCUGUUCUGACGGUACCCAAAGAAUAAGCACCGGCUAACUUCGUG
rnacentral:rRNA from 1 species